AGCAGCCGCGGUAAUUCCAGCUCCAAUAGCGUAUAUUAAAGUUGUUGCAGUUAAAAAGCUCGUAGUUGAAUUUCGAGACCGGCUUACUGGUCGUGCUUUUGUGCGUACUGGUAUAAUCGGUUUCUCCUUUCUGACGAACUUUAAUGCCAUUAAUUUGGUGUUUUAGGGAAUCAGGACUGUUACUUUGAAAAAUUAGAGUGUUUAAAGCAGGCUCACGCUUGAAUACAUUAGCAUGGAAUAACGGAAUAGGACGUUUGAUUCUAUUUUGUUGGUUUCUAGGAUCGACGUAAUGAUUAAUAGGGAUAGUUGGGGGCAUUAGUAUUCAAUUGUCAGAGGUGAAAUUCUUGGAUUUAUUGAAGACUAACUACUGCGAAAGCAUUUGCCAAGGAUGUUUUCAUUAAUCAAGAACGAAAGUUAGGGGAUCGAAGACGAUCAGAUACCGUCGUAGUCUUAACCAUAAACUAUGCCGACUAGGGAUCGGA
rnacentral:rRNA from 1 species